rnacentral:lncRNA from 1 species
UUCAAACAAGAUGGAGUUAUCAACCUUGAGGAACCUACUGCCAAAAAUCCUUGGAAGUAAAGGACAAGCUUUGAUCGGGCAACUUGCACCAAGACAAAUACUUAUCAGGAUGGAUCAAUUUGACGAUUUUCGUACAUCACUUGCGAGGUCAGUUCUGUACUUUAAUCAGAAUGGAAGGGAGCAUCAAAUUAGAGUAUUUCCAUG